rnacentral:rRNA from 1 species
GACGAACGCUGGCGGCGUGCUUAACACAUGCAAGUCGAACGGUGACGGAGCCUGCUCUUGCGGGCCCUGGUUGAGUGGCGAACGGGUGAGUAGCACGCGAGUAACCUGCCCCCUUCUUCUGGAUAACCGCAUGAAAGUGUAGCUAAUACGGGCUAUCCUGCGUCUGUCGCAUGAUGGGUCUGUGAAAGAUUGCGCCUUUGGGUGUUUUCGGUGGGGGAUGGGCUCGCGGCCUGUCAGCUUGUGGGUGGGGUGAUGGCCUACCAAGGCGGUGACGGGGAGCCGAGCUGAGGGGGUGGACGGUCAGACUGGGACUGAGACCCGGCCCACACUGCUACGGGAGGCAGCGGUGUGUUGGACUGCACAAUGGGCGCAAGUCUAAUGCAGCGACGCCGCGGGAGGAGUGGAUGGCGUCGGGUUGUAAACCUCUUGCGCAAGUGAAGCAGCCCUGCUACAUGUGGCUGUGUUGACGGUAGCUAGAGAAUAAGCGCCGGCUAACUACGUG